AUUGAACGCUGGCGGCAGGCCUAACACAUGCAAGUCGAGCGGUAGCACAGAGAGCUUGCUCUCGGGUGACGAGCGGCGGACGGGUGAGUAAUGUCUGGGAAACUGCCUGAUGGAGGGGGAUAACUACUGGAAACGGUAGCUAAUACCGCAUAACGUCGCAAGACCAAAGUGGGGGACCUUCGGGCCUCAUGCCAUCAGAUGUGCCCAGAUGGGAUUAGCUGGUAGGUGGGGUAACGGCUCACCUAGGCGACGAUCCCUAGCUGGUCUGAGAGGAUGACCAGCCACACUGGAACUGAGACACGGUCCAGACUCCUACGGGAGGCAGCAGUGGGGAAUAUUGCACAAUGGGCGCAAGCCUGAUGCAGCCAUGCCGCGUGUGUGAAGAAGGCCUUCGGGUUGUAAAGCACUUUCAGCGGGGAGGAAGGCGAUAAGGUUAAUAACCUUGUCGAUUGACGUUACCCGCAGAAGAAGCACCGGCUAACUCCGUGCCAGCAGCCGCGGUAAUACGGAGGGUGCAAGCGUUAAUCGGAAUUACUGGGCGUAAAGCGCACGCAGGCGGUCUGUCAAGUCGGAUGUGAAAUCCCCGGGCUCAACCUGGGAACUGCAUUCGAAACUGGCAGGCUAGAGUCUUGUAGAGGGGGGUAGAAUUCCAGGUGUAGCGGUGAAAUGCGUAGAGAUCUGGAGGAAUACCGGUGGCGAAGGCGGCCCCCUGGACAAAGACUGACGCUCAGGUGCGAAAGCGUGGGGAGCAGACAGGAUUAGAUACCCUGGUAGUCCACGCUGUAAACGAUGUCGAUUUGGAGGUUGUGCCCUUGAGGCGUGGCUUCCGGAGCUAACGCGUUAAAUCGACCGCCUGGGGAGUACGGCCGCAAGGUUAAAACUCAAAUGAAUUGACGGGGGCCCGCACAAGCGGUGGAGCAUGUGGUUUAAUUCGAUGCAACGCGAAGAACCUUACCUGGUCUUGACAUCCACAGAACUUUCCAGAGAUGGAUUGGUGCCUUCGGGAACUGUGAGACAGGUGCUGCAUGGCUGUCGUCAGCUCGUGUUGUGAAAUGUUGGGUUAAGUCCCGCAACGAGCGCAACCCUUAUCCUUUGUUGCCAGCGGUUAGGCCGGGAACUCAAAGGAGACUGCCAGUGAUAAACUGGAGGAAGGUGGGGAUGACGUCAAGUCAUCAUGGCCCUUACGACCAGGGCUACACACGUGCUACAAUGGCAUAUACAAAGAGAAGCGACCUCGCGAGAGCAAGCGGACCUCAUAAAGUAUGUCGUAGUCCGGAUUGGAGUCUGCAACUCGACUCCAUGAAGUCGGAAUCGCUAGUAAUCGUAGAUCAGAAUGCUACGGUGAAUACGUUCCCGGGCCU
rnacentral:rRNA from 1 species